CAUGUAUAAAAGACAACAGCGAGAGUAUGUACAGAGGUAACAGAAAACAUAUCAUCUAGCCGACUGCAAAACCAGGAGGGUGGAAUCAAACACGCUUUUCAUUUCUUAAACACAAAAUAAUUCCACUUGGCAGUUAAGGACCAUUAGCUUGCAGACAUUCCAGCCACGUCUCCAUUACAGAGCCCAGGAAUCGCGUGCUGGAGGACUAUAUUCUCUCAGAGACCGUGUUGUAUCAUCUGCUUCAAAUGCUAUGCUGAACGGCUGGCACCCAGUCCAGGGUUUGUUCCCCGAGUCCCCUGGGAUAGGCUCCAGGGCUCCCUGUGAUCCUGUGUAGGAUAUGGAUGCAGUUUAAACAUAAUGCGCUUCAUGUAGGUGGGAGUACCACACAAUGCAGUAACUAAAAUACUACCAUUGACCUAUAAAGCACUGAAUGGUCUCGUGCCACAGUACCUGAGCGAACUUUUGGUCUUCUAUGACCCGCCACGCCUACUUAGAUCAAAAGGUGCAGGCUAUUUGUUGGUACCUCGAAUAGUGCAGGCUACAGCAAGAGAAAGAGCUUUCUCUUACAAAGCCCCACAUUCAUGGAAAAGCCUUCCAAUUAGUGUUCGGGACUCAGACGCAGUCACAGUAUUUAAGUCCAGGCUGAAAACAUGUGUUUACUCAAGUUUCCAUGAAUAGACUUUUUCGAUGCAAAGUACACUGUCUUAUCCAUUAUGGGGUAGUAAGCAUACCUAACAAUCUCUCCCUCUCUUUACCAUCCUCUCCCUCUCUCCUUCUGUCGAGCCACCCAUGAUAUUAUGGAGAUGCCAGCGAUCCUGACCCUUUCUGAUCUCCGGACCUGCCUGGUCCAUCCUGAUGCCCUACCUCUGAUUGGAGCUCUCAUCAACUGGAGGCUACAUUCUGCUACUGAGGACGACCCCAAGCAGUGCAGCCUGGAGAUUGCUGAGGAUGACGCCGCUUGAAGUACCAUGGAAAUGGUUUUGGACCACAGUUUCACAUGGACAUUCUUGCUGUGAUGCUGGAACUACGGUUGCUGCUAUGGCCUUAGGACUGCAAUUACCACAUACAGUUUUGCACUCAAGUCUUCUUUAAUGAACAGUGGAUCAGUUCAACAAAACAGACUUCAUAUAAAAACCAUAAUGAACUUCCCUUUACUUUCACACUAUCCGUUGUCACCCAGAUGAGGACGGGUUCCCUUCCGAGUCUGGUUCCUCUCAAGGUUUCUUCCUCAGAUCAUCUUAGUGUUUUUCCUCAGCACCGUCUCCACCAACUUGUUCGUUAGGGAUAAAUUCACACACUUAAAAUCUAUAUCCUGUGUUUAAAUGUUUCUGUAAAGCUGCUUUAGAGAAUGUCCACUGUUAAAACCGUUAUACAAAUAAAAUAGAAUUGAAUAGUAUGUACAUCUGAAUCCCACCACCUACUACAUGGAUUAAUCAGAGUACACCACAGAUAAUCUUUUCAAAAUCAGGAACGCGGGUAUGUAACAAAACCGAAAAAAGCUGUCAUAUACAAAUAACUCUCCGGCUAACAGAACCCAGUCACCGUGUGCUUACACAAACAGAGAAAAUAAAGACUCUAGUCAGACUCGAUUAAUACGUUUUGUGAGAGAUGCACGAAAGGACAAACAUCAGCCAACAACUUGUCAGCCUUUUGUUGAAAGCGCAAAUAUAGAUGUGCUACAUUAUAAACUUUGCUAGUUUAUAAGUGAACAGUGAUCAUAGACACAUUCAUUUCCCUUAUUCUGCAUUAACGCAUUUAACUAGCCAGUUCAUUCAGCUCGCUGUGUGUUAGAUUUCUGGGCCAACCAAAACACACAACUGGGCACAACACUACAGCUUCACUUGUCCCACACUGAACUGCCAUCAUAUCAAUUUAAAUAUACUGCAUCACCUAAUGGGUUGGGCGAUAUAUUGGCACCGUGAUAAAUUAUUAUGCGAUGCACUUUUCUGAGAUAUCGUUGGUAUGGUGAUGUCUUUUUUUUUUUUACAUUUUAAUUAUAAUCCAUAAAAAAAGUAAUUACAUACCAUUUAAUUACAAAUUUAAUGGUUCUGAUUGUUUUUAAC
ensembl:lncRNA